CUUACCGAUAGUACUAGAAAGAAGAACAAAAUUUUAACUAGAAACAGCCAUUGCUUCGCCAUAAAACGAUGGGUUCUCAAGAACCCAUCCUAGAUGAAAUCUGAUUAUAGCUGGAUAUAUCAACGAAAUAUCGAUAAUAGAAUGGAUGAGGCUGAGAAUGAAGUUGCGGAUAAUGAGUUGUAGUUUUUAGUAUUUUGUAUGUUUUAUAGUUUGGAUUUGGAACCUCGAUAAAUUUUGUAAAUAAUGUUUGUAUUCUUAUGGUGAUUGGUUGAUUGUAUAUUAAAUAAUUGGUGGGAUGUAUUGUAGAUAA